GACGAACGCUGGCGGCGUGCCUAAUACAUGCAAGUAGGACGCAGUUGCGAACGGGUGAGUAACGCGUAGGUAACUACCUAUUAGAGGGGGAUCACUAUUGGUCACGAUAGCUAAUACCGCAUACUAGACGAUGGACCUGCGUUUUAUUAGCUAGUAGGUAGGGUAAUGGCCUACCGAGGCAACGAUACAUAGCAGAACUUGUACGGUGAUCGGGCACACUUGGACUGGUAAACGGCCCAGACUCCUGCGGGAGGCAGCAGUAGGGAAUCUUCGGCAAUGGGGGGAACCCUGACCGAGCAACGCCGCGUGAGGGAAGAAGGUUUUUGGAUCGGAAAGCUCUGUUGUUAAGGAAGCGGUACUUAACCAGAAAGGGACGGCUAACUACGUGCCAGCAGCCGCGGUAAUUC
rnacentral:rRNA from 1 species